GGGAGAGGAUCGAAUUCGAAGAUCUCAUCAAAGAGGAAAACGAAGAUUCAUCUUUUUCAGCUCUCUUCGUUACUGCUAAAGGCGUCCUUGUUCAAGCUUAGUUCACAAAAACAUUACAGUGACAUAUAGUCAUAUUAUAUUGCGGUGGCAGCACAAUGGACCCAGCGAAUGAAGGAAACAACCUCAAUAACAAUCCUAGUCUUGCUUCAAAGCAACGGUUACGUUGGACCCAUGAGCUACAUGAACGUUUCGUUGAUGCCGUCGCACAACUUGGUGGCCCAGACCGGGCUACCCCUAAAGGUGUUCUUAGAGUCAUGGGUGUGCAAGGCCUAACAAUUUACCAUGUAAAAAGCCAUUUACAGAAAUAUCGGCUUGCUAAAUACCUCCCAGAUUCCUCUUCUGAUGGGAAACAAUCUGACAAGAAAGAAUCAGGAGACAUGCUUUCCAGUUUGGAUGGUUCAUCGACUGGUGUGCAGAUAAAUGAGGCUCUAAAACUGCAGAUGGAGGUCCAAAAGAGACUUCACGAGCAACUGGAGGUUCAAAGACAGCUACAACUUAG
rnacentral:misc_RNA from 1 species